rnacentral:rRNA from 1 species
GACGAACGCUGGCGGCGUGCUUAACACAUGCAAGUCGAACGGAUUGCUUGGUGCUUGCACUGAGUGGUUAGUGGCGAACGGGUGAGUAACACGUGAGUAACCUGCCCCCUUCUUUGGGAUAAGCACCUGAAAGGGUGUCUAAUACUGAUUACUCUGCUGGACUCGCAUGGUUUUGGUUGGAAAGGUUUUUCUGGUGGGGGAUGGUCUCGCGGCUUAUCAGCUUGUUGUUGUGGGUAAUGGCCCACCAAGGCGACGACGGGUAGCCGGCCUGUGAGGGUGACCGGCCACACUGGGACUGAGACACGGCCCAGACUCCUACGGGAGGCAGCAGUGGGGAAUAUUGGACAAUGGGCGAAAGCCUGAUCCAGCAACGCCGCGUGAGGGAUGACGGCCUUCGGGUUGUAAACCUCUUUCAGCAGGGACGAAGCGAGAGUGACGGUACCUGCAGAAGAAGGACCGGCCAACUACGUGCCAGCCGCCGCCGUAAAAC